AUACUUACCUGGACGGGGUCAAUGGGUGAUCAUGAAGGCUCAUGGCCUAGGCUAGUGACCUCCAUUGCACUCUGGAGGGGUGCUCGCUUAAGAUCUCCCCAAGAGGUAGAGUUUACGUCAUAAUUUGUUGCAGGGGGGUUUGCGUACGCGCAGCCCCCAC
rnacentral:snRNA from 1 species